rnacentral:rRNA from 1 species
UACGGAGGGUGCAAGCGUUGUCCGGAUUUAUUGGGUUUAAAGGGUGCGUAGGCGGCCCGUUAAGUCGAACGUGAAAUCCCCGGGCUCAACCCGGGAACUGCGUCCGAUACUGGCAGGCUUGAAUUCGGGAGAGGGAUGCGGAAUUCCAGGUGUAGCGGUGAAAUGCGUAGAUAUCUGGAGGAACACCGGUGGCGAAGGCGGCAUCCUGGACCGAGAUUGACGCUGAGGCGCGAAAGCCAGGGGAGCAAACGGG